GUAUGAUGAAUGGAGUUUCAUAUGAUUUUGCUGGUGAUAGCGGUAAUAUGAUAAAAAGAUGUUGGAAAGUAUUGUACGACAGAAAGUUUUAAAUACCUGGUUGAUCUUCCAUUGAUGGCAAUACGAGAGCGUGAUCGAGCCUGGAGACAUCGUUUGGACGAGACUAACGGGAACAGUGUCUAUUCCAGACGGCAUCAUUGUUGACAGUGGCAAGGGAUUAAGAUUG